ACGAACGCUGGCGGCGUGCUUAACACAUGCAAGUCGAACGGACUAUAGCAAUAUAGUUAGUGGCGAACGGGUGCGUAACACGUGACUAAUCUGCCCUGGAGUGGGGAACAACGGAGGGAAACUUCCGCUAAUACCGCAUAUUGAGCGUGACUCGCAUGGGUCGUGCUUGAAAGAUUUAUCGCUCCGGGAUGAGGUCGCGCCCCAUUAGCUUGUUGGCGAGGUAACGGCUCACCAAGGCGACGAUGGGUAGCUGGUCUGAGAGGAUGAUCAGCCACACUGGGACUGAGAUACGGCCCAGACUCCUAUGGGAGGCAGCAGUGAGGAAUAUUGCGCAAUGGGCGAAAGCCUGACGCAGCAACGCCGCGUGAAGGAUGAAGGUGCUUUGCAUUGUAAACUUCUGUAGGGAGGGACGAAUAACCACUCUGUGGUGAUGACGGUACCUCCAAAGUAAGCACCGGCUAACUCCGU
rnacentral:rRNA from 1 species